UACAGAGGAGCCAAGCGUUGUCCGGAUUGACUGGGCGUAAAGCGCACGCAGGCGGGGGGGCGCGUGGGGGGUGAAAUCUGGCCGCUUAACGGCCAGGCGCCAUCCCAUACGGCACGCCUGGAGCCUUGCAGAGGUCGGUGGAAUUGCCGGUGUAGUGGUGAAAUGCGUAGAUAUCGGAAGGAACAUCAGUGGCGAAAGCGGCUUCCUGGUCCAGCAUCGACGUUCAGGCACGAAAGCGUGGGGAGCAAACAGG
rnacentral:rRNA from 1 species